CAAAAACAUGUCUUUUUGAAAUUAAUUUAAAGUCUAACCUGCCCACUGAUUUUAAAUUUAAAGGCCGCAGUAUUCUGACUGUGCAAAGGUAGCAUAAUCAUUUGUCUUUUAAUUGAAGGCUGGAAUGAAUGGUUGAAUGAGAUGUAAACUGUCUCAUUUUAAUAAAUUAAGAAUUUAGCUUUUAAAUUAAAAGGUUUAAAUUUUAUUAAAAGACGAGAAGACCCUAUAGAUUUUUAUAAAAUUUAUUUUUAUUAUUAAAAGUAAUUAAAAUUAUUUAUAAUAAUAAAUUUUAUUUGAUUGGGGUGAUUGGAAAAUUUAAUAAACUUUUUUUAAUUAAAAACAUUGAUUUAUGAAUAUUUGAUCCAAUUUUAUUGAUUAAAAGAUUAAAUUACCUUAGGGAUAACAGCGUAAUUUUUUUGAAGAGUUCUUAUCGAUAAAAAAGAUUGCGACCUCGAUGUUGAAUUAAAGGUUAUUUUUAAAUGUAGAAGUUUAAAGUUUAGGUCUGUUCGACCUUUGAAUCUUUACAUGAUCUGAG
rnacentral:rRNA from 1 species